rnacentral:lncRNA from 1 species
AGUUGUAAGAAAAUGGCAGACAAGCCGGACAUGGGGGAAAUCGCCAGCUUCGAUAAGGCCAAGCUGAAGAAAACCGAGACGCAGGAGAAGAACACCCUGCCGACCAAAGAGAGUAAGUGUGCCCCCCGCCUCCGGGUUCCCACCCCAGCGCUCCUCCCUUCCCUGCUGUGCCAGCCCGGCACCCCCAACCCCCAUCCGGCCACUAUCUUCCCACCCCUAAUCUAAGGCCACAGCCACCCUUCCAGUCACACAAAGCACUUUGUCUCUUCCAAACCCCAUCUCUGUCCGCAGGCCUCCUGGGUUCCUCACCCACCCCAGGUUUGUGGGUUGGGUGUGGGGGGCUGUACGGUAGGUCCAUUCUCCAAUGACCACAUCCCGCCCUUCGCAGCCAUUGAACAGGAAAAGAGGAGUGAAAUCUCCUAAAAGCCUAGGAAGAUUUCCCCACCCCACCCCUUCAUCUCCAAGAACCCCCUCGUGAUGUGGAGGAAGAGCCACCUGCAAGAUGGACGCGAGCCACAAGCUGCACUGUGAACCCGGGCACUCCGCGCCGAUGCCACCGGCCCGUGGGUCUCUGAAGGGGACCCCCCCACUAAUCGGACUGCCAAAUUUCACCGGUUUGCCCAGGGAUAUUAUAGAAAAUUAUUUGUAUGAUUGAUGAAAAUAAAACACACCUCGUGGCA